CUAGGUGGCCCCUCAUCUGGACCUGUCACAAAGCAGGUGAGGAAUUGGCGUCUAAGCAGCUGUCCUGCGAUUUGUCUCGACGUGCCGUUUGUUCUCCCCGGUUCGGAGGCCCGCUGGGUCGCGGAGUCCUGCCAGAGCCACACCCUCAUCAGAGCGCCGCACCUGCUGCUCGCCCAGCGCCGUCCCCACCUGUCAUUGACCCACAUGCCGGCCAGGAGCGUGCACUGCGCAGCCGCGAAGAGAGGGAGAGCGCGAGCGAGCGUGCGCGUGCGUUUGACCCACAGGGCGCGCGGGGAUCAGAGGCCCAGCAUUCGGAGCUGAACAGCCCUGGGGCUUACAGCAGAUGAGAGGUGGCAUCGUUGAGAAUCUAUGGCAGAAACUGGAGCCUCUGUAAUAUUGGCGCCGCAUGUUGAGAGCUCUUCCAAUGACAACGCGAGCAGCCGAGUCUGGGACCAGCUGAAGUUUAUUGACAGAUUUGUGUGUUGGACCAGAGAGAAGAGAAUUGGCUAUUAAAAUACAAUGCCAUAAUCGAUAUGAGAAGUAACAAGAGCACAGAUUAGAGUGGCUGUGCUGAUGUCCCGUAAGUGAGAUCUGAAGUGCGCAAGUGAAAAUAAGUGGACUGCUAAUAUGUUGCUGGGAUGAUGAUUAAAACAUCUUGAGUCUGUAUGCAUAUGAAGCACAAAAAAUAAAAAAAAUAAAACAUCUCACUGCA